UCACUAGUCUGCCCGUGUCAGAGGCUUUUUGGCGGAGCCAGUCUGUGAGAGAAAUCUCUCUGAUCGGCUAUUCAGCUUAAACGAAUCAGUGCACGAGAAGAGAAACGGAAGUCAGGAAAGCAAGCCAACGAGUAAAGUCAAGAAGGAAAACACAGAUGGCUCUUGUCAUUUUUCAUCUUC